CUAGGUUCUUCCUUCCUUCAACGUAUAGUUGACAUUGUGCUCAAUUUCAUCUUCUCCUGCAGCACCAUCUGGAAUCACUAGUUUCUCAACACUAUAUAAUAUUGUUGCUGAUUGGAGGUCAAGUGAAUCAGGCCCUAAGUGAAGUCGAAAAAGUUCUGUAACAAUUCAAGAGUGCCCUUUCCAUUUAGGUAUCGACCUACCAAAUAAUUUUGUUCCCCCCCUUUUUCCAUGGUUGCCAAGAAGUGAAUUCAUAUUGGAAAAUAUAAUCCCAAAGGUACUUUAUUUCAUUUUGUCUUAACUUAGAUAACUUGAGAAUAACAGAAAAAGGAAUAUGAAGAUAAGUGCUAGAGGACUCAACUAAUGAUUACAACUAUGGUAUUUGUUGUGGCAGUUAUGUCUGGUGAUAAUCUUUUUGGGAAAAUAUUAUAUCUGAAUGUGUUAGUACUAGUUGUUCCAAGGGACAUUAUGGUACUGUUGCCUUUGCAUAGAUUUUUGUGAUAAGGUAGAUAGUUUUUGUUGACAUUACUUUCCUUUUUCUUCUGUCUUGACAAAUAUAUCUUGUGCAGAAAUCUCCUUUGGGUGUAUCCGAGGCUAAAGCUCCCUCUUCGCUUAGAAGUUUUCCUUUAGUAGAAUGGGCUUGAUAUUUUAAUUAUUUUCUACUAUCUCCCAUGGAAUCUUUACUUUCAGGAGCACCUUCCAAAUAUUAUAUAAAAGAUUUAAUUAUUCUUGCAGUAUGUUAAUUUUUUCAGCUGGUCCUCUUGUUGCCUUUACAAAACACUGAUGUGUUGGUCCUUUGCAGAAUAAGGGCUAGUCUUUUAGAGUGUUUUUAUUCUAAUGAUUCUGUCAUGCUCUCUACAUGUUUUGAGGAGACUUUGAAGAAGGAUCCAACAUGCUGCCACUCAUUGGCAAGGCUUGUCAGCAUGCAACAAAAUGGUAUAUUAUCAAUUAUCUUGCAUAGAUAGACCAGUACCCACUUCAUUUGACAGUCGUUUCAAUGCAGUGAUUCUAUCACCUAGUUGUGACACAGCCACCACCAAGGGACUAUAGUCUGGAAUACCUUGUGGAGAUGAUUGCUUUGCAUUUGGAAGCUACCAAUCUAGAGUCCAAUACAUGGAGGGUGUUUGCUUCAUGCUUCCUCAAACUAUAUCAGCAUGAAGAGGAUCGAUUGUCAGUAUGUCUCAAUAGGAAUGAAGGUGAACAAAUUCCAAAGCUCUCUGUUAACUACAAUAAGAUGCCAAAAUUUUUACUGAGGGAAAAUCAAGAAAAGUUUGGAGGUUAUGCUGCAAAUGCUGGUUAAAACGUCACUUUGCCAUGAAGAUGCUUGCAUCAGAAAUGGCUUCAGGGUUCUCGGAGCUUUUAACUUACAAAGUAGCUUGCGCAUCCCAUUUGUAUGGUCAAGAGUUCAACUACGUUGGAAAGGUUUAUUGUCAUUUUGAGGAACAAAAUGAUAGGGACAUACUAAAAUUCCUAAAAAGGCACAUUGAGAAUUCUAUCAGAUUAAAUGUGAAUAUUCAAGAGAAAUUAAAUCAGAUAUAGUGUUCAUGCAA